rnacentral:rRNA from 1 species
UACGUAGGGUGCGGGCGUAAUCGGAAUUACUGGGCGUAAAGCGUGCGCAGGCGGCCUCUUAAGUCAGAUGUGAAAUCCCCGGGCUUAACCUGGGAACUGCGUUUGAAACUGGGAGGCUAGAGUGUGGAAGAGGGGGGUGGAAUUCCAGGUGUAGCAGUGAAAUGCGUAGAGAUCUGGAGGAACACCGAUGGCGAAGGCAGCCCCCUGGGCUAACACUGACGCUCAUGCACGAAAGCGUGGGGAGCAAACAGG